CCUACGGGAGGCAGCAGUGAGGAAUAUUGGUCAAUGGGCGCGAGCCUGAACCAGCCAAGUAGCGUGAAGGAUGACUGCCCUACGGGUUGUAAACUUCUUUUAUAAAGGAAUAAAGUGAGGCACGUGUGCCUGUUUGUAUGUACUGUAUGAAUAAGGAUCGGCUAACUCCGUGCCAGCAGCCGCGGUAAUACGGAGGAUCCGAGCGUUAUCCGGAUUUAUUGGGUUUAAAGGGAGCGUAGACGGGUUGUAAAGUCGGUUGUGAAAGGUUGCGGCUCAACCGUAAAAUUGCAAUUGAUACUGGCAGUCUUGAGUACAGUUGCGGUCGGCGGAAUUCGUGGUGUAGCGGUGAAAUGCUUAGAUAUCACGAAGAACUCCGAUUGCGAAGGCAGCUUACUAAACUGCCACUGACAUUGCUGCUCGAAAGUGUGGGUAUCAAACAGGAUUAGAUACCCGAGUAGUC
rnacentral:rRNA from 1 species